GCCGCCAUAGCUCAGUGGUUGAGCACUGGUCUUGUAAACCAGGGGUCGAGUUCAACCUCUCACAGGGUGCA